UCUCGUGCCGCUCAGGUGUUUCGUAGCGCUCAAUGCGUGCGUGUUUUUCUUAACAUCGAUUGCUUGAUCUGUUUCUACAGCCUAAGCAACUGAAGGAGAUCAAGGAGUUCCUCCUGACGGCGAGGCGGAAAGAUGCCAAGUCGGUGAAGAUAAAGAA
rnacentral:lncRNA from 1 species